GAUGAAGAACGUAGCGAAAUGCGAUACGUAAUGUGAAUUGCAGAAUUCAGUGAAUCAUCGAGUCUUUGAAUGCACAUUGCGCCCCCUGGUAUUCCGGGGGGCAUGCCUGUCCGAGCGUCAUUGCUGCCCUCAAGCACGGCUUGUGUGUUGGGCCUCCGUCCUCCUCCCGGGGGACGGGCCCGAAAGGCAGCGGCGGCACCGCGUCCGGUCCUCGAGCGUAUGGGGCUUCGUCACCCGCUCUUGUAGGCCCGGCCGGCGCUUGCCGACACAUCAAUCUUUUUUCCAGGUUGACCUCGGAUCAGGUAGGGAUACCCGCUGAACUUAAGCAUAUCAAUAAGCGGAGGA
rnacentral:misc_RNA from 1 species